AGGUUAAGUUAAUAAGGGCGCAUGGUGGAUGCCUUGGCACUAGAAGGCGAUGAAGGACGUGACUAACUACGAUAUGCCUCGGUCAGCUGUAAGUAAGCUUACCCGAGGAUUUCCGAAUGGGGCAACCCGAUCUUAAUGAUCAUCAUCUUUUUGAAUUCAUAGAUUAGAUGAAGCAGAACGCUGUGAACUGAAACAUCUCAGUAACAGCAGGAAAGUAAAGAAAUUUCGAUUCCGUCAGUAGCGGCGAGCGAACGCGGAAGAGCCCAAACCUAGAUGCUUGCAUCUAGGGGUUGUAGGACUGAUGUUGAGUUACAAAGGUAUAAGAUAGCAAAAACAGUUGGGAAGCUGUUCCAUAGAAGGUGAUAGACCUGUAUGCGAAAUCUUGUACUCUCUAAUCAGGAUCCUGAGUACGGCCCAACACGUGAAAUUGGGUCGGAAUCUGGGAGGACCAUCUCCCAAGGCUAAAUACUAACUAGUGACCGAUAGUGGACAAGUACCGUGAGGGAAAGGUGAAAAGAACCCCGGAAGGGGAAUGAAAUAGUUCUUGAAACCGUGUGCUUACAAGAAGUUCGAGGCCGUUAAUGGCUGAGAGCGUGCUUUUUGUAGAAUGAACCGGAGAGUUAUGAUUGCGUGCAAGGUUAAGGUGCAAAGACUGGAGCCGUAGCGAAAGCGAGUCUUAAUAGGGCGAUUCAGUACGUAGUUGUAGACCCGAAACCGAGUGACCUAUCCAUGGUCAGGUUGAAGGUGGGGUAAUACCUACUGGAGGACCGAACAAGUGGGUGUUAAAAAACCCUUUGAUGAACUGUGGAUAGCGGUGAAAUUCCAAUCGAACUCGGAGAUAGCUGGUUCUAUCCGAAAUACAUUUAGGUGUAGCCUUGCAAUUAGCUUACUGGAGGUAGAGCACUAUUUGGUCUAGGGGCCCUUCAAGGGUUACCAAAAUCAGAUAAACUCCGAAUGCCAGAUAAGUAUGUGCAGGAGUCAGACGGUGAGUGAUAAGAUCCAUCGUCGAAAGGGGAACAGCCCAGAUCACCAGUUAAGGUCCCUAAAUAUAUGCUAAGUGGAAAACGUUGUGAAGGUGCAUAGACAACUAGGAGGUUGGCUCAGAAGCAGCCACCCUUUAAAGAGUGCGUAAUAGCUCACUAGUCGAGUGCUCUUGCGCGGAUAAUGUACCGGGGCUAAGCAUAUUACCGAAACUGUGGAUGCGUAAGCAUGGUAGGAUAGCGUAGUUAAUGCAAUGAAGGAUGACCGUAAGGACAUGUUGGAGCGUUAACUAGUGAGAAUUCCGGUAUGAGUAGCGAAAGAUAAGUGAGAAUCUUAUCCACCGAAUGACUGAGGUUUCCCCCGGAAGGCUCGUCCGCGGGGGGUUAGUCGGGACCUAAGGCGAGGCUGAAAAGCGUAGUCGAUGGCCAACAGGUUGAUAUUCCUGUACCAAUAUUGAAUUGCCGAAGGAAGGACGCAGAAGGAUAGCACAGGCCACUAUUGGAUGUGGUUUUAAGCAGUUAGUCUUCAUAAGAGUUAAAUGCUUUUAUGUUUAAGGAUAAGCUGUUAAGCUACCAAGUUUACUUGGGAAUUGUGUGAAUUCACGCUGCUGAAAAAAGUUUCGUAGGAAGAAAAUAUUGCCCGUACCGCAAACCGACACAGGUAGUCGAGUAGAGAAUACUAAGGUGAGCGAGUGAACUAUUGUUAAGGAACUCUGCAAAAUGAGUCCGUAACUUCGGAAGAAGGACUGCUGGUUUUAUACCAGCCGCAGCAAAUAGGCCCAAGCAACUGUUUAUCAAAAACACAGGUUUCUGCAAAAUCGUAAGAUGAAGUAUAGGGGCUGACGCCUGCCCAGUGCUGGAAGGUUAAAAGGAGGACUUAGCUUCGGCGAAGGUCUUAAUUGAAGCCCCAGUGAACGGCGGCCGUAACUAUAACGGUCCUAAGGUAGCGAAAUUCCUUGUCGGGUAAGUUCCGACCCGCAUGAAAGGCGUAAUGACUUGGGCGCUGUCUCAACAAUAGACUCGGUGAAAUUUAAAUUCCAGUGAAGAUGCUGGGUACCCGCGACAGGACGGAAAGACCCCGUGGAGCUUUACUGUAGCUUGAUAUUGAAUGUUUGUGCUGCAUGUGCAGGAUAGGUAGGAGACUUUGAAGUCGGAACGCUAGUUUCGACUGAGUCAACCUUGAGAUACUACCCUUGUUGUAUGAACGUUCUAACUCUGAUCAGUUAUCCUGAUCGAAGACAGUGUCUGGCAGGCAGUUUGACUGGGGCGGUCGCCUCCUAAAAGAUAACGGAGGCGCUCAAAGGUUUGCUCAGAAUGGUUGGAAAUCAUUCGUAGCGUGUAAAGGCAUAAGCAAGCUUGACUGUGAGACUGACAGGUCGAGCAGGUACGAAAGUAGGACUUAGUGAUCCGGUGGUUCCGUAUGGAAGGGCCAUCGCUCAACGGACAAAAGCUACCCCGGGGAUAACAGGCUCAUCUCCCCCAAGAGUCCACAUCGACGGGGAGGUUUGGCACCUCGAUGUCGGCUCAUCGCAUCCUGGGGCUGUAGUCGGUCCCAAGGGUUGGGCUGUUCGCCCAUUAAAGCGGUACGCGAGCUGGGUUCAGAACGUCGUGAGACAGUUCGGUCCCUAUCCGUCGCGGGCGCAGGAAAUUUGAGAGGAUCUGUCCUUAGUACGAGAGGACCGGGAUGGACAUACCUCUGGUGUACCAGUUGUUCUGCCAAGAGCACCGCUGGGUAGCUACGUAUGGAUUAGAUAAUCGCUGAAAGCAUCUAAGUGAGAAACUAACCUCGAGAUGAGAUUUCCCAUUCGUUAGAAGUAAGACCCCUGAGAGACGAUCAGGUAGAUAGGCUAGAAGUGGAAGUGUAGUGAUGCAUGGAGCGGACUAGUACUAAUAGGUCGAGGACUUAACCAAG
rnacentral:rRNA from 1 species